AUCUUUGCGCAGCGGCAGUAUCGUUGCCGAUGAGGUCUAACCGAGGCGCGAUUAUUGCUAGUUGAAAACUUUACCCAAUACCCCGCCUUGCCGACUUGAAAUAGUCGGUUAUGGCAAUUUUUGGUGGUCUCUUCAGAGA
rnacentral:snRNA from 1 species